rnacentral:lncRNA from 1 species
GUUUGACCUUGGAAGUCCUCAUGGAGAAAAUUGCACCUGAGCUGGACCAUGAAAACUGAGUAGGAUUUCAACAGAUAACAAUGGGAGAAAGAAAGCAAAUCAACCACCUUUCUUCGCUCAUCUGACAAAGUGCCUGAUUCCAGCCAGAGACUAUGUAAGCCCUUGGAGUGAUAUCAGUCUCUAUUGACUGAAUGCUAACCCGUGGAAUUAGAUAUCCAUGUGAGUCUAUUCUACACAUCCAUAUGAAAACCUUAUACCGAUGCUUACUGGUUUUAAAAGAGGAGAUGUCAAACUAAAGAAUGGAGAAGAAUUUG